GAUGAACGCUAGCGGCAGGCUUAACACAUGCAAGUCGAGGGGCAGCGUAGAUUGCUUGCAAUCUGACGGCGACCGGCGAACGGGUGCGUAACGCGUAUAGAACCUACCUUAUACAGAGGGAUACCCCAUGGAAACGUGGACUAAUACCUCAUGGUAUUGUUGAUUGGCAUCGAUUAACAAUUAAAGAUUUAUCGGUAUAAGAUGGCUAUGCGUCCUAUUAGCUAGAUGGUAAGGUAACGGCUUACCAUGGCGAUGAUAGGUAGGGGUCCUGAGAGGGAGAUCCCCCACACUGGUACUGAGACACGGACCAGACUCCUACGGGAGGCAGCAGUGAGGAAUAUUGGUCAAUGGAGGCAACUCUGAACCAGCCAUGCCGCGUGCAGGAAGACUGCCCCUAUGGGUUU
rnacentral:rRNA from 1 species